rnacentral:rRNA from 1 species
UACGUAGGGUGCGAGCGUUGUCCGGAAUUAUUGGGCGUAAAGAGCUCGUAGGCGGUCUGUCGCGUCGGUCGUGAAAACCUGCAGCUUAACUGUGGGCGUGCGGUCGAUACGGGCAUGACUGGAGUUCGGCAGGGGAGACUGGAAUUCCUGGUGUAGCGGUGAAAUGCGCAGAUAUCAGGAGGAACACCGGUGGCGAAGGCGGGUCUCUGGGCCGAUAUUGACGCUGAGGAGCGAAAGCGUGGGGAGCGAACAGG